rnacentral:rRNA from 1 species
UACGUAGGGUGCGAGCGUUGUCCGGAAUUAUUGGGCGUAAAGAGCUUGUAGGCGGUCUGUCGCGUCUGCUGUGAAAAUCCGGGGCUCAACCCCGGACUUGCAGUGGGUACGGGCAGACUAGAGUGUGGUAGGGGAGACUGGAAUUCCUGGUGUAGCGGUGAAAUGCGCAGAUAUCAGGAGGAACACCGAUAGCGAAGGCAGCUCGCUGGGACGGUACUGAC